rnacentral:rRNA from 1 species
GGAGGGUGCAAGCGUUAAUCGGAAUUACUGGGCGUAAAGCGCACGCAGGCGGUUUGUUAAGUCAGAUGUGAAAUCCCCGGGCUCAACCUGGGAACUGCAUCUGAUACUGGCAAGCUUGAGUCUCGUAGAGGGGGGUAGAAUUCCAGGUGUAGCGGUGAAAUGCGUAGAGAUCUGGAGGAAUACCGGUGGCGAAGGCGGCCCCCUGGACGAAGACUGACGCUCAGGUGCGAAAGCGUGGGGAGCAAACAGGAUUAGAUACCCUGGUAGUCCACGCCGUAAACGAUGUCGACUUGGAGGUUGUGCCCUUGAGGCGUGGCUUCCGGAGCUAACGCGUUAAGUCGACCGCCUGGGGAGUACGGCCGCAAGGUUAAAACUCAAAGAAUUGACGG